AAACUGGAGAGUUUGAUCCUGGCUCAGAACAAACGCUGGCGGCGUGCCUAACACAUGCAAGUCGUACGAGAAAAGGUCCUUCGGGACCUGAGUAAAGUGGCGCACGGGUGAGUAACGCGUGGAUAAUCUGCCCCUCAGUUGGGAAUAACUCAUCGAAAGGUGGGCUAAUACCGAAUAAUACUGUGAGACUUUGGUCGAUCAGUCAAAGAGAGCCUCUGCUUGCAAGCCCUCGCUGAAGGAUGAGUCCGCGUACCAUUAGCUAGUUGGUAGGGUAAUGGCCUACCAAGGCGACGAUGGUUAGCUGGUCUGAGAGGAUGAUCA
rnacentral:rRNA from 1 species